CCUGCAACGGAGGAUGUUAGCAAAUCCUUAGCAUCAAUUCCUAAGCUAAAUGGAUUAAAAAAAUAUUAAAACAAUUCCUGUAGCUAAGAAUGAAUCCUUAGCUAAGGGAAUUAAGGAUUUGAUCCUUAACUCUUCUGCUCAUCCAUCUCGCUCUUUUCUCCCUGUUCAAUUCUUCUUCCUCACUUCCCAUUCACUUCCCAAUUCUUCUUCGCAUCCAUAACCUCAUUUAAUUUCAACACAACUUCUCCUCUCUCUCUCUCCGUCAAUACUCAUCCUCUCUCUCGCGACGAGAUCCUCUCUCUCCGUCACGUCGAUACGAUCUUCAUCGAAUCCAGAAACUUUCGUUCAAGUGAUUGAAGGCUCUUACCACUGUUCCCCUUCCGCCAGAGCCAUCGAUAUGGAAUAGAAGCUUUGAUUGAGAUCAGUCCCAAUCUCACAAACGAUCUGAAUGAGUAAUUAAGUUGUUUCCAGGGCAAACGGUUCUGCUGUUUACGGGAUGGGUAAUACAAAAGUAAUUGCGGCUGUUUAUGGCACAAGAGAGAUUCAAUACAAAAGCCAACAAAAGAAUGGUCAUGUAUUGGUAUGUGUAUGUUUGUGUAUACUCUUCUUUGCAUAAAGCUUUGCGAAUUUGAAGUGCUUAUGGAUACGUCGCUGCAGGUACUCUGUGAUGAUUGCCUUCUCUUUUUGCUUCUUGAUCUAGCUAUAGUGUCAUGUCCUUGUUAACCUACGCAGCUAUGCUUGCUGCACAAGACGUUGCUCAGAGAUGCAAGGAGCUUGGAAUCACCUCAAUGCACGUGAAGCUCCGUGCCACUGGUCCUGGUGCUCAGUCUGCUCUCAGAGCUCUUGCCCGUUCUGGCAUCAAAAUUGGCCGCAUUGAGGAUGUUACUCCUUAGUGUCAAAAUCUAUCCAAGGCAAAAAAAGGGAUGCUUAAGUUUCAUGUUUUCUCUCUUCUCAGAACGGAACACGGCUUUUCUUCCGAGGCCAGCUCAUUUGGGAGGCAAUUAUGGAUGAGUUGUUGUCGAUGGGCAUGUCAGAUGCGAAACAGGUUAGCAUCCUCGUGAGCAUCCUUGUUGGAAGGGAUCAUGCUGGUGGCAACGAGAAGAUGAAGCAGUUGGUGCCUGGAAUCUGUUUAUUUACUUGUUUCCAGCCAAGUUUUGUGAGAGCAUGUGGAUCAGACGAGGUAACCUUUACUUGUUGUUGUCAAACAAAGUUACUUGGGACUUCUCUCAGACUUGUUUAAACAUAAGAAAUGAAUAUUGAAUCAUUGUUUAGUGUUGUCUUA